CAGCAGCCGCGGUAAUACGGAGGGUGCAAGCGUUAUCCGGAUUUAUUGGGUUUAAAGGGUCCGUAGGCGGAUCUGUAAGUCAGUGGUGAAAUCUCACAGCUUAACUGUGAAACUGCCAUUGAUACUGCAGGUCUUGAGUAAAUUUGAAGUGGCUGGAAUAAGUAGUGUAGCGGUGAAAUGCAUAGAUAUUACUUAGAACACCAAUUGCGAAGGCAGGUCACUAAGAUUUAACUGACGCUGAUGGACGAAAGCGUGGGGAGCGAACAGGAUUAGAGACCCCGGUAGUCCCUGUCUCUUAUAC
rnacentral:rRNA from 1 species